rnacentral:pre_miRNA from 1 species
UGGACAAAUUAUUGUAUUCGAAUGUAUUCACGACGUGAAACAUGGAAUUACACUGUUUUUAAAUGGAAAGUGAAUCAAUUAGCAUAAUAGACUCCU